rnacentral:misc_RNA from 1 species
GCCAUGACAACCACUCUUCUUCACACCAUUAAUGAAUCAGAAAAAGCAUCUUAUGUUGUUCACAUAAACAGCUAUCUGGGAGACGACCCAUUUCUGAAGCACUUUCCCUUAGAUCCAGCAUCAAAUGAUUUAUUCAAUCUUGUGAGAGAUGGAGUACUUCUAUGCAAGCUUAUCAAUGUUGCUGUUCCGGGGACAAUAGAUGAACGAGCUAUC